UUUCUAUAAUUCUAAAGACGACACUUAAUAAGUGUGCUCUAAUAAUCUUAAUAAAAAUUUUAACCCAAAUAAUUGUUUCCCUCCGUAUAUCUAGAUCUACCCCCAAAUUCUAAAAGGCCAAAUAUUAUACUCAAAAGCUAAAAGGGUGUUGAUAAACUCUACAAACACCUAGGGGGAUUUCUCUGGUAAGCGCUUCUUGGUGAAAUUGAAUAUGAGAUUCCUGCUACAAUGAACAAGGCUACAAGGAAUGAAGCUCUUCUCGGCGAAAUUAUUGUUAUCAUUUUCGAUGAAAUUGAGUUAGAAUGGGUUUACUCCGCUAGUUCAAUCGAGAUUUCGCCAGAAAAUGCAGGUGAUCUAAGUCAAUUCAAUCAAUUGAUUUGAAUGAUGAGAACUUUUGAAUAAUUGUUAUGUUUGAAUUUACAUUUUAUUUUGUGGAAUUCAUUGUAGUGCACAUCUUUGAAAUAUUGACUUAUUAUAAGUUUGUGUAGUAGAAGACAUGUUGCUUUUCCCAAGUUUAUUGAAAUCUAUACAUUUGAAUUGUUA